rnacentral:rRNA from 1 species
UAGGGAAUCUUCGGCAAUGGACGAAAGUCUGACCGAGCAACGCCGCGUGAGUGAAGAAGGUUUUCGGAUCGUAAAACUCUGUUGUUAGAGAAGAACAAGGACGUUAGUAACUGAACGUCCCCUGACGGUAUCUAACCAGAAAGCCACGGCUAACUACGUGCCAGCAGCCGCGGUAAUACGUAGGUGGCAAGCGUUGUCCGGAUUUAUUGGGCGUAAAUCGAGCGCAGGCGGUUUCUUAAGUCUGAUGUGAAAGCCCCCGGCUCAACCGGGGAGGGUCAUUGGAAACUGGGAGACUGGAGUGCAGAAGAGGAGAGUGGAAUUCCAUGUGUAGCGGUGAAAUGCGUAGAUAUAUGGAGGAACACCAGUGGCGAAGGCGGCUCUCUGGUCUGUAACUGACGCUGAGGCUCGAAAGCGUGGGGAGCAAACAGG